rnacentral:rRNA from 1 species
AUUGAACGCUGGCGGCAUGCCUUACACAUGCAAGUCGAACGGCAGCGGACCUUCGGGUGCCGGCGAGUGGCGAACGGGUGAGUAAUAUAUCGGAACGUACCUUUCAGUGGGGGAUAACGUAGCGAAAGUUACGCUAAUACCGCAUAUUCUGUGAGCAGGAAAGCAGGGGAUCGCAAGACCUUGCGCUGAUUGAGCGGCCGAUAUCAGAUUAGCUAGUUGGUGAGGUAAAGGCUCACCAAGGCGACGAUCUGUAGCGGGUCUGAGAGGAUGAUCCGCCACACUGGAACUGAGACACGGUCCAGACUCCUACGGGAGGCAGCAGUGGGGAAUUUUGGACAAUGGGCGCAAGCCUGAUCCAGCCAUGCCGCGUGAGUGAAGAAGGCCUGGUUGU